rnacentral:rRNA from 1 species
CAGUCGAACGAAGCGGUUACAGGGAUUCCCUUCGGGGAGGAACGGUCAUUGUCUGAGUGGCGGACGGGUGAGUAACGCGUGGGCAACCUGCCCCAUACCGGGGGAUAACAGCCGGAAACGGCUGCUAAUACCGCAUACGCCCAGGAGGCUGCAUAGCUUCCUGGGGAAAACUCCGGUGGUAUGGGAUGGGCCCGCGUCUGAUUAGCUCGUUGGCGGGGUAACGGCCCACCAAGGCGACGAUCAGUAGCCGGCCUGAGAGGGCGGCCGGCCACAUUGGGACUGAGACACGGCCCAGACUCCUGCGGGAGGCAGCAGUGGGGAAUAUUGCACAAUGGGGGAAACCCUGAUGCAGCGACGCCGCGUGAGCGAUGAAGUAUCUCGGUAUGUAAAGCUCUAUCAGCAGGGAAGAAAGUGACAGUACCUGACUAAGAAGCCCCGGCUAACUACGUGCCAGCAGCCGCGGUAAUACGUAGGGGGCAAGCGUUAUCCGGAUUCACUGGGCGUAAAGGGAGCGCAGGCGGCACGGCAAGUCUGGUGUGAAAACCCGGGGCUCAACCCCGGGACUGCAUUGGAAACUGCCGGGCUGGAGUGUCGGAGGGGUAAGCGGAAUUCCUAGUGUAGCGGUGAAAUGCGUAGAUAUUAGGAGGAACACCAGUGGCGAAGGCGGCUUACUGGACGAUGACUGACGCU